GACGAACGCUGGCGGCGUGCUUAACACAUGCAAGUCGAACGGAAAGGCCCUGCUUUUGUGGGGUGCUCGAGUGGCGAACGGGUGAGUAACACGUGAGUAACCUGCCCUUGACUUUGGGAUAACUUCAGGAAACUGGGGCUAAUACCGGAUAGGAGCUCCUGCUGCAUGGUGGGGGUUGGAAAGGUUCGGCGGUUGGGGAUGGACUCGCGGCUUAUCAGCUUGUUGGUGGGGUAGUGGCUUACCAAGGCUUUGACGGGUAGCCGGCCUGAGAGGGUGACCGGCCACAUUGGGACUGGGAUACGGCCCAGACUCCUACGGGAGGCAGCAGUGGGGAAUAUUGCACAAUGGGCGGAAGCCUGAUGCAGCAACGCCGCGUGCGGGAUGACGGCCUUCGGGUUGUAAACCGCUUUCGCCUGUGACGAAGCGUGAGUGACGGUAAUGGGUAAAGAAGCACCGGCUAACUACGUG
rnacentral:rRNA from 1 species